rnacentral:rRNA from 1 species
UACGGAGGAGGCAAGCGUUAUCCGGAAUUAUUGGGCGUAAAGCGUCCGUAGGUGGUUGACCAAGUCUGCUGUCAAAGGGUGGGGCUUAACCUCAUAAAGGCAGUGGAAACUGGUGAGCUAGAGUGCGGUAGGGGUAAGGGGAAUUCCCAGUGUAGCGGUGAAGUGCGUAGAUAUUGGGAAGAACAUCGGUGGCGAAAGCGCCUUGCUGGGCCUGCACUGACAAUGAGGGACGAAAGCUAGGGGAGCGAAAGGG